CAGCGCCGCGGGAAUACGAAGGGGGCUAGCGUUGUUCGGAAUUACUGGGCGUAAAGCGCACGUAGGCGGACAUUUAAGUCAGGGGUGAAAUCCCGGGGCUCAACCCCGGAACUGCCUUUGAUACUGGGUGUCUAGAGUAUGGAAGAGGUGAGUGGAAUUCCGAGUGUAGAGGUGAAAUUCGUAGAUAUUCGGAGGAACACCAGUGGCGAAGGCGGCUCACUGGUCCAUUACUGACGCUGAGGUGCGAAAGCGUGGGGAGCAAACAGGAUUAGAUACCCGUGUAGUCCCUGUCUCUUAUACA
rnacentral:rRNA from 1 species